AAACUUUCAACAACUGGAUCUCUUGGUUCUGGCAUCGAUGAAGAACGCAGCGAAAUGCGAUAAGUAAUGUGAAUUGCAGAAUUCAGUGAAUCAUCGAAUCUUUGAACGCACAUUGCGCCCGCCAGUAUUCUGGCGGGCAUGCCUGUCCGAGCGUCAUUU
rnacentral:rRNA from 1 species